rnacentral:sRNA from 1 species
UGGUGGACAGCAUAAAGAGCUACCGCUCCCGGGCGACUAUCUUUGAAAUCAAUGCCUCCAGCCGAGACCUGUGCCGCCAGGUGAUGCGCGCCAAGCGGCAGAGGGACCUCAAGGCCAUCGCCCGCUUCCAGCAGGAACAGCAGGGGCGGCAGGAGCAGCAGGAGGGCCCAGUGGGCCCAGCCCUGAGCCGCCCAGCACUGCAGGAGAAGCAGCCUGAGAAGGAGGAGGAGGAGAAAGAGGAGGCGGGAGAGAGUGUGGAGGACAUUUUCUCAGAGGUCGUGGGCCGGAAGCGACAGCGGUCAGGACCCAACAGGGGAGCCAAGAGGCGGAGGGAGGAGGCCCGGCAGCGGGACCAGGAAUUCUACAUCCCCUACCGGCCCAAGGACUUUGACAGCGAGCGGGGCCUGAGCAUCAGCGGGGAAGGGGGAGCCUUCGAGCAGCAGGCGGCUGGCGCUGUCCUGGACCUGAUGGGGGAUGAAGCCCAGAACCUGAUGAGGGGCCAGCAGCAGCUCAAGUGGUGAGUGAUCGAGUGAGCCGCGGACCGUAAGAAGAAGCGGUUUGUGGGACAGUCAGGACAGGAAGACA